CUGCCGAAGAGCGUGCGGCUUCUACUGCGGCUGCGCAAGCUCGACGCGCGCACUCUUGUCUGCUUACGAGGGCUCCUCCCUUCAGCUUUGGUCCCUCGGGGCGUCUGGGCAGCCUACGCUUUCCGACUGGAAUCAGCCAUUUUACCAAGAAAGUUGGGUUUCUUUUACUGGCAAAUAGUACUUCAAGAGCACAGUCUUAUGUAAGUAAACACUGGGAUGCCGGAGCUCAGGCAUCCCAGACAGGAGGAAGUGUGUACUCACACCAGCCAGGAGGAAACAAGCCUGCCUGGGAGGACAGACGAUCAGCCCUGGCUGUCCCUCAGGAGCGGGGGUCCUCCAAGGCACACUGCCCACUGGGUCAAGGAGUGUCCAGGAGGAGUUAGAAGCAUGACCCAUCUGCCUGGCACCAGCACCUGGGGCUGCCAGGCAGCCACCCCUGCAGCUGUGUUGACAGGGCCUGGCAGAGGGACUGACCCACCUUUGGAAAAUGACACCAGCAAUAUCAGGAUGUGUCAACUGGAUUUAUGUUAAGAAAAUAGGAUUUUUGGUGUUCCUCUGUUUCCCAAAGUUUGAGACACUUUCAGACACUCUGCUUUGCGGUUGUGGCCGAUGUUACCCAUGGGUGGGACUUUUGCUUUGCUCUAGAUUUUUGUAACACCCUGGGGAGUUUCAGGGGCCAAUGCUGAGAGAAGACCACAGGCUGACACAUCAUGAGGUAUGUUGGUAAAACAGCCCCGGCUGGCCGAGAGGCCACUGAGGGAACAGGCCCAGGGUUUGGUUUGUACUCUGUGAGUCUUGGCCUGGCAGGGUCUCCUGCACAGCAGAGUCCUCUGAGUGGGACCCCAGGGGAAGCAGGUUGUUGCCUGGAGCUGAGAGGCAGCUCUGUAUUCAGGAGGGGUGCCUGCCUUCCCAUCUCCCCUGUGACCAGAUGUCACAGAAACAUUCUCUCUUUACUCCCUAGACCCUCUGGGCAGGUCCACUAAGAGUAUGUAUUCUAGAACAUGCAGGGCUUGAAGCUUCACAAGAUAUUCAGUGCACUCCUUACAGAUCCUGUCAAAUGUGGACCGGGUGGUGUCAUCGCACCACCAUCAUCCCCUUGUUACCCCUGAGAACACAGCUUCAGAGAGGGUAAGUAACCUAUCUCAGGCCACACAGCCAGGACAUGGAGUAGAUCCAUCCUAAGUCUUUCUACCACACACUCCUUUCUACAGUCAUGGGUUAAAUGAGGGUGCCAUGGAAUGGGUCAUCCAGUGUACACUGACAUCAGGAGGAGAUUCACAUUCAUACACUCACGGCAAAUGGUUCUGUUGCUCCCUGGUCCAAAGAUGAUCUUAAUAGUAGGAAAAACUCAUUUGGCAGAAGCAAGACUCAGCACACAGGCUCCCUCCCUGAGUCUUCUGUGGCUGGCCUUGCCCUGCCCUCCCCUCCCCAACCCCACUGGCAGAAUAAAGUCGGGGCUGUGAGGACUGAGCCCCAGGCCUUGACAGGCACCCGCAGCCGGCCGAACUCCCACCUGCCCAGUUGGAGGGGUGCGAGAAGGCCUUGCUGCUCUGCACCACCUUCAUGGCCUCCCCCAGGGCAGCACUGGCUUUCAGGCCGUUCAGCAGGGAUGAGUAGAAGGCAUGGAUGAACAUCUUAGAAGCAGCCACUGGCACAGGCCACAGAGACACGAGGACACACUGAGCGCCGGCAGCCAGGAAGGCCCUUGUCAGCGCGAUGACCCCGUCGGCUGUGACUUUGCUGUUGGACUCCUGGGAGGAGCCAAGCACCACCAGCUUCACAGGCAGCUGCAGGUCCAGGACGUCGGCGGCAGUGCCUAACUUACUGAGAAUCAUGCCUGCUGUGAUGAGCCCUUGGAAACCAUCAGGACUGGAUGGUAGGGGUCCUGAGAGGAUUGGGGGAGGAGGCCUUGAUAUGACAGAGUGGACAGAGGCUGUGGAACCCAGGACGGCCAGCCUGCUCCACAAUCCUCAUCCCCACAGACCUUCAUGUGUGGCUCCUAAAUAAGAGGAAACCCACUCCUGAUAAGUCAGGGGCUUUGAAAAGUGAUUUUGUUUAAAUGGUGCAAACAAGCAAGCCAAUCUUGGGGAGACAGGGCUAAACUAAGUCCUUUAAGAAGCUCUACAUACUGACAAGAUUCUAGUUCCCUUCCACCUUAUAUGCUGCAAAGUAAAAAGUAUCACUGAAUGAGAAAAUCAGCAUAAAGAAGCCCAAUAAUGUCUGCCUGAGUUUCCCCUAUGAUGACUUUUGGUACUUUUUGGGAAACAUUAAGUAUGAAGUUAUUUCAAAAUAAUUUUUUGGUGCCUCUGCUUGGUGAUGCCUUAAACUCUGGGUAAGAGAAACACCAGGUGCCUGUCAGGAGAUGGUCUUUUCCAGGUUUCUGGUUAAGCUACAAACAGCUAGCUGGCUGUUGUCAUCAAAAUAAAAGCUUUCUGAAGGUGGAGGCAUCUGAUACCCAGAGUGCUGCUAUCAGCCGGCACGGUGGGCCGCUGGGUGGCAGGAGCGUCGAGAAGGCCAGCUCGCUUCCUAUCCGGGAUUCAGAAUCAGCUAUGGAAACUUGAGAGACCUAGAGAAAAUAACUUCUUUCACUUUGAACUGAUUCUUUGCUCCAUAAGAAAAGUAUUAUCCAGCCACAAAAAUGGUCAAAAUUCAGAUCUACAAAAACCUGUCAGGCAGAAACUGACCCCACUUAGGCCACGCCAAUGAGCAAGUCAUCAAAGCAGCCAAGACAGGUCCUGUGGGGGCCACCCAUGCACAGGGCCCAGCCUCGGUUCCUAACCCCGCCUAUGCUUUCCGCCACCAUAAGGAGGCCCAUCUGGGUAAGACCUGUCCCGCCCGCCGUCGGGUAUUAGGGCAGAUGGGGUCUGAGGGCUCUGAGAGCAGCUGGCAGCUCAAGGACAUCCAGAGUUGGAGGAUGGAGCAAUGCAGGCCCUUGUGGUAAAGACAGUCCUGCAGCUGCGCAGGCAGGGAUGCUGCAAGUGGAGUGCCAGGCGGGUGCGGAGCCCUGUGGGACUGUGGAGGGGUCAGAGGGAAGCCAGGAUUUUGGGGUCUCUGAGAGUUUGGAGAAGGGGAAGAAGAUUAAAGCUUGUUUCAAAAGUUUCUAAUCAGGUGGGCAGGGCCAAGGGUGGCUGUGGGGUGAGACCCAUGACUCAGGGUGGCCCACUGUUACUCUCUUGAUUUUUGGGCGUUUUUUUCCAAAUUGAUUAUUCUUGCUGAAUGAGACCUGAGUCCUUGACUGUCCCCUUAAAGCCACCUGACUUGUUUUCAGUUCCACUGGCCUGUCGGGCUGUUUUCCACUCAACUCCACUCUUGCUUGUCUGCCCUCCCUGCCUGGGGCCCAGCCAGCAGUCAGCUCAAGGGCCAGAUGAAUUGGGUGGCUGUGCUCUGCCCACUGGGCAUCGUGUGGAUGGUCGGUGACCAGCCCCCUCAGGUGCUCAGCCAGGCCUCAAGCCUCGCUGUGUACCUCAGAGCAGCUCAGUACCCUGAUGUCACAGCAAAGAAACUUAGACAUGACACAAACUGUGGCUUCCCAAGGCAGCAAAGAAUGGCCACGGGUCAUGAGGGCCGUGCCCCGCUUUUGGACAGACCUACUCUAAAGUCACGCUACCUGCGUGCAAAUCAUAAAAUCAACACUUUUGAGGAGAUCACAGCUAUGCCUUAGUAACACAGCCCAGUCUGACCAGAUAAGACGGUGCCUCGUGACCCGAAAACAAGCCCCCGGCCCCCCACCGUGUGUGAGCCUUACCUUGGACUGCACGCUGAGGGAGCGGAUGGAAGGGACAGCAAGGAGGCCAAAGCGCUCAUAGAGGUACUCAUUGGAGGAGCUUCCCUUCAGGAGGGCGAAAGGAAUGAGGUAGAGCUCCCCCUCCAGAACCAGGAUGAGCUGCCGGUGCCGGCCCACGGGGCCGCUGGAGUGCAUCAGGCCCUAUGGAGCAAGCACGGAGAGGCUGACAUGGGUGGCCCAGCAGGCAGGGGUUUCAGGCACCAGGACAACCCUGAGCCCUAGCCUGGAUGACACAAGCACGAGCAGGUGAGGCCUGCGGGUGUGUGGGGCGCCAUGGGGUGUGGGGCGCCAUGGGGCAUGGGCCGAGUUGCAGCCCUGCAGGAGCGGCACCAACUGGCAUGCUCGCUUGUGGACUGGCAAGGGCUGGCCUGGCAGCAUCCAUCUGCCUCACAGUCCUGAGAAGGUUAGAGGACAGUUUCUUGAAGUUCACAAGAACCUGAAGUGGGUUGGAGACCGGUCUGUACCGCACAGGCACCCUGAGAAGGGGUGGGAAUGGCCCCUCUCAAAACAAGAUCUGUUUUCCAUUUCAAUGGACAAGAGGCUAGAAAAUCACAGUGAGGACGGGAGGUCUGGGGGCUGGCAUGACAGCCCCUGUAGAAGGGGAUGGGCUGGGUUCUAGGACCUUCCGUGACCUCCUCUGAGAAAGAGUGGCCCCUUGGCUCUGGGCUUGGGAGGUGCCAUCCCCACUUGUUCCCUCUGGGGAUGUCAGGGGACCCAAUGCAUGGAUGACUCCCAUCCCUCUUGAAAGGCCGAGCAUGAGGACUCGAGGCAGGGUGCGCACAGGGCCACAGCGGACACAGCCUCAUUCCUGUUCAUUGCAGAACAAGGCUAAAGGUGCGGGCAUCUUAAUGAGAGCAGCAGGCAACAAUCCUGGAAGCUGGGUCCACACAGACUGAGGUGAACAAAGAGGUGGCGUGGAAGCUGCUGCUGCAGCCCAGAGCCUGCCAAGAAGGUCCCAGGUCCACAGGGCCUGUGCAACACUGGGUGCCAGGGGUGGGGCUGGCCUGCCCCCCAACCCCAUCUGCUGAGGAGUGGCUGACAAGCGGACACCCACCAGGGUGCCACUCGCUUGUGCCUGGGGAAGCAAAUGUGCUCGCUUGACCCGUCUGAUGUGCUGCCAUGGGCACUUGACUGAGAGUGGCAGGGCACUAGGCUAACCCAAAGUGACACAUGCCUGGCGGGAUGUUCAGUCUCUGUAAACCCAUAUGGUUUUUUUUUUCUUUCUUUUAAAAAAAAUUUCUAGCUCCAUCUAGCGAAAGCAGAAAUAAAAAUUAUUAGGCCAA
rnacentral:antisense_RNA from 1 species